rnacentral:rRNA from 1 species
UACGUAGGGGCAAGCGUUGUCCGGAAUCAUUGGGCGUAAAGCGCGUGUAGGCGGCCCGAUAAGUCCGCUGUGAAAGUCCAGGGCUCAACCCUGGGAUGCCGGUGGAUACUGUCGGGCUCGAGUCCGGAAGAGGAGUGUGGAAUUCCUGGUGUAGCGGUGAAAUGCGCAGAUAUCAGGAGGAACACCAAUGGCGAAGGCAGCACUCUGGGACGUGACUGACGCUGAGACGCGAAAGCGUGGGGAGCAAACAGG